AUAUGCAUCAAUACAUAGUAGAGUGACAAACCUUGCUUGUCCACCCUCCAAUACCCCCCUCAAGUUGGAGGGUAAAGAAAUGACCCCCAACUUGUUCAACAAAUGGGGAUUGGGAACCCCAGACAGUGGUUUGGUAAACAAAUCAGCCAGUUGAUGCUUCGAUAGAACCAAGGGAAAUGUAAUUAGACCAGCGACAGCAGUUGUCUCACAAAGUGACAAUCCACCUUAACAUGUUUCGUCCUUUCGUGAAAGACUGGAUUUUUGGCUAUGCUAAUGGCAGCUUUACUAUCGGAGUUCACUGUGAUAGGGAGGAAUGGAGGAACAGAGAGAUCAGCAAGGACACGUACCAACCAAUUCAGCAGUCACAUGGUGCAUAGAACGAUACUCUGCUUCAGCGGAUUAAAGGGAGAUGGAAGCUUGUUUCUUGGAUUUCCAAGAAAUGGGAGCACCACCAAAAGUGAUGAAGCAACCACUGACAGAUCUUCGAGUUUUACGACAAGAGGCCCAAUCGGCGUCGUAGAAAGCUAAUAGAGUAAAGGUGGGAUAUGAGGAGAGAAAAAUUCCUUGACUUCGAUCAUUUCGUAGGUAUCUCAAGACUCGAAGCGCAGCAAGAUAAUCUGAUUCAGAGGGAUGUUGCAUAUGUUGACUGAAUGUCAAUACAACAAAAGACAAAUCAGGCCUAGUGUGUAUUAAAUAGUUGAGCUUCCCAACUAAAUGUCGAUAAAGUGUUGGAUUAGCCAUGGAGGGACUGUCAUCGACAUGAAUUUUGGAAUAUAGAUCAAGCGGUGAAGAUACAGCAGCACUAGAACAAUCAAAUUCAGCAAGUAACUCCAAGUUGAUACAUCUUUGCUUCGUUGCAUCUUUCGAAUCUUCUUUCCAGGCUAUCCCAGGUCUCCUUGGCAGUCUUGGAUUAGAUUACGCUGUCUCCAAUUUCCCGGAAAGUGAAUUCAACCAUGAGAUCACCAAUAUCGUUGCAACAAAUCCAUUGGCCAUACUCUACAGUAUCGAGACCUGGAGCUUUGCAUCCUUCAUUGAUGAAGCCAAGCUUUUUUUUGGCUGAGAGUGCUAUCAACACUGCCCUACUCCAUCCUGGAAAUCCCUUCCCGUCAAAGGUAGAGCUGAUGAUAUUCAUUCCUGGCGAAUCCGAAGAGUGCAGAUGAUAGGGAUGAUUGAUGUCGAUCGUGUUGGUCUUUGAAACACUGGACGUGUUCAACACCUGAGUUACAACCUCUUCUUAAUCCAUUUUGUAUUACAGAUCAAAAUGAACGAUGUAAAUCUGUGAGAAAUAGAUUAGAUUGAGCUACUGCUCUGAUACAAUGAAAGAAUGAAAAGAAAACGUUUGGGAAUUUUCUAUAAU